GACGAACGCUGGCGGCGUGCUUAACACAUGCAAGUCGAACGAUGAAGCCGGAGCUUGCUCCGGUGGAUUAGUGGCGAACGGGUGAGUAACACGUGAGCAAUCUGCCCUUGACUCUGGGAUAACUGCGGGAAACUGUAGCUAAUACCGGAUACGACACCUUGGGGCAUCCCAGGGUGUGGAAAGAAUUUCGGUCAAGGAUGAGCUCGCGGCCUAUCAGCUAGUUGGUGAGGUAAUGGCUCACCAGGGCGACGACGGGUAGCCGGCCUGAGAGGGUGAACGGCCACAAUGGAACUGAGACACGGUCCAGACUCCUACGGGAGGCAGCAGUGGGGAAUAUUGCACAAUGGGCGAAAGCCUGAUGCAGCAACGCCGCGUGAGGGAUGAAGGCCUUCGGGUUGUAAACCUCUUUUAGCAGGGAAGAAGCGAAAGUGACGGUACCUGCAGAAAAAGCACCGGCUAACUACGUGCCAGCCGCCGCCGUAA
rnacentral:rRNA from 1 species